UACGGAGGGGGCUAGCGUUAUUCGGAAUUAUUGGGCGUAAAGGGCGUGUAGGCGGCUUCGUAAGUCUUGUGUGAAAGCCCUCGGCUCAACCGAGGAAUUGCACGAGAAACUGCGUGGCUCGAGUCCGGGAGAGGAUAGUGGAAUUCCCAGUGUAGCGGUGAAAUGCGUAGAUAUUGGGAAGAACACCAGUGGCGAAGGCGGCUCACUGGCCCGUAACUGACGCUGAGGUGCGAAAAGCGUGGGGAGCAAACAGG
rnacentral:rRNA from 1 species